GACGAAGGAUGCAAGCGUUAUCCGGAUUCAUUGGGUUUAAAGGGAGCGUAGGCGGUCUUAUAAGUCAGUGGUGAAAUCUCCUCGCUUAACGAGGAAACUGCCAUUGAUACUGUAGGACUUGAGUAUAGUUGCUGUGGGCGGAAUAUGACAUGUAGUGGUGAAAUACUUAGAGAUGUCAUAGAACACCGAUUGCGAAGGCAGCUCACAAAACUAUAACUGACGCUGAGGCUCGAAAGUGCGGGGAUCAAACAGGAUUAGAUACCCUGGUAGUCCGCACUGUAAACGAUGAUUACUCGUUGCUGGGGAGCAAUUUUCAGUGACUAAGCGAAAGCGAUAAGUAAUCCACCUGGGGAGUACGCCGGCAACGGUGAA
rnacentral:rRNA from 1 species